UCCGCACUGAUGAAAUCAGAAGGACUCCUCCAACACCACAAGAUGAAAUGAGAGCUGGAAUGAGCUAUUUCCAUGAAACAAUUUGGAAGGGUGUGCCAAAGUUUCUGCGUCGUGUUGAUACAGCUCUUAAAAACAUAGGGAUUGAUGAACGAGUUCCUUAUAAUGCUCCUCUUAUUCAAUUCUCCUCUUGGAUGGGCGGUGAUCGUGAUGGUAAUCCAAGAGUGACUCCCGAGGUCACAAGAGAUGUUUGCUUAUUGGCAAGAAUGAUGGCAGCUAACUUGUACUAUUCGCAAAUAGAGGACCUCAUGUUUGAGUUAUCUAUGUGGCGCUGCAGUGAAGAGCUUCGUGUGCGAGCAGAUAAACUCCAAAGGUCUUCAAGGAGAGAUGAAAAACACUACAUAGAAUUUUGGAAGCAAGUUCCUCCAAAUGAACCCUAUCGUGUAAUUCUUGGUGAUGUGAGAGAUAAGUUGUAUCAGACACGCGAGCGUGCUCGCCAACUGUUAGGCCAUGGAUACUCUGAAAUUCCAGAGGAAGCAACUUAUACUAAUAUUGAGCAGUUCUUGGAGCCUCUUGAGCUCUGCUACAGAUCUCUUUGUGCUUGUGGUGAUCUCUCCAUAGCGGAUGGUAGCCUUCUGGAUUUCCUUAGACAAGUUUCUACGUUUGGACUUUCACUAGUGAGACUUGACAUAAGACAAGAGUCGGACCGCCAUACUGAUGUGCUUGAUGCUAUUACGCAGCAUUUGGAAAUUGGUUCAUAUCGAGAAUGGUCUGAAGAACGUAGACAAGAGUGGCUUCUGUCUGAACUCAGUGGCAAGAGACCUUUAUUUGGACGGGAUCUUCCAAAAACUGAAGAAAUUGCUGAUGUUUUGGAUACGUUCCAUGUCAUAGCCGAACUCCCAGCAGACUGCUUUGGGGCAUACAUCAUCUCAAUGGCCACUGCACCAUCUGAUGUGCUUGCUGUUGAGCUUCUACAGCGUGAAUGCCACGUGAAGCAACCUUUACGGGUAGUUCCACUUUUUGAGAAAUUGGAUGAUCUGGAUGCUGCUCCUGCUGCUAUUGCACGUCUUUUUUCAAUUGAGUGGUACAAAAACCGCAUUAAUGGGAAGCAAGAAGUCAUGAUUGGCUACUCAGACUCUGGAAAGGAUGCUGGUCGGCUGUCGGCAGCAUGGCAGCUAUAUAAGGCUCAAGAGGAGCUUAUAAAAGUUGCCAAACAAUAUGACGUGAAGCUAAUUAUGUUCCAUGGCAGAGGUGGUACAGUUGGAAGAGGAGGUGGUCCUAGCCAUCUUGCUAUAUUAUCUCAGCCACCUGAUACGAUUCAGGGAUCUCUUCGCGUAACAGUUCAAGGUGAGGUUAUUGAGCAAUCAUUUGGGGAGGAACACUUGUGUUUUAGGACACUCCAACGUUUCACUUCUGCCACCCUAGAACAUGGAAUGUAUCCACCUUUCCCCCCAAAGCCAGAAUGGCGUGCACUU
rnacentral:misc_RNA from 1 species